rnacentral:rRNA from 1 species
CCUACGGGGGGCAGCAGUGAGGAAUAUUGGUCAAUGGGCGCGAGCCUGAACCAGCCAAGUCGCGUGAGGGAAGACGGUCCUAUGGAUUGUAAACCUCUUUUGUCGGGGAGCAAAAGACGCCACGCGUGGCGUUCCGAGAGUACCCGAAGAAAAAGCAUCGGCUAACUCCGUGCCAGCAGCCGCGGUAAGACGGAGGAUGCGAGCGUUAUCCGGAUUUAUUGGGUUUAAAGGGUGCGCAGGCGGAAGAUCAAGGCAGCGGUAAAAUUGAGAGGCUCAACCUCUUCGAGCCGUUGAAACUGGUUUUCUUGAGUGAGUGAGAAGUAUGCGGAAUGCGUGGUGUAGCGGUGAAAUGCAUGGAUAUCACGAAGAACUCCGAUUGCGAAGGCAGCAUACCGGCGCUCAACUGACGCUCAUGCACGAAAGUGUGGGUAGCGAACAGGAUUAGAUACCCUUGUAGUC